AGGAUGAACGCUGGCGGUAUGCCUAACACAUGCAAGUCGUACGAGAGUUUAUAACUCAAGUGGCGGACGGGUGAGUAACACGUGAGAAUUUACCUUUAGGAGGGGGAUAACACCUGGAAACGGUUGCUAAUACCCCAUAUGCUUUCGAGUGAAAUAGAUUUUUCUGCCUAAAGAAAAGCUCGCGGCUGAUUAGCUUGUUGGUAAGGUAAUGGCUUACCAAGGCGACGAUCAGUAUCUGGUUUGAGAGGACGAUCAGACACAUUGGAACUGAGACACGGUCCAGACUCCUACGGGAGGCAGCAGUGGGGAAUUUUCCGCAAUGGGCGAAAGCCUGACGGAGCAAUACCGCGUGAGGGAAGACGGCCCAUGGGUUGUAAACCUCUUUUUCAGUGAGGAACAAUGACGUGUAACUGAAGAAUAAGACAUCGGCUAACUCCGCGCCAGCACGCCGC
rnacentral:rRNA from 1 species